rnacentral:rRNA from 1 species
UUGACAUCCACGGAAUUUGGCAGAGAUGCCUUAGUGCCUUCGGGAACCGUGAGACAGGUGCUGCAUGGCUGUCGUCAGCUCGUGUUGUGAAAUGUUGGUUAAGUCCCGCAAGAGCGCAACCCUUAUCCUUUGUUGCCAGCGAUUCGGUCGGGAACUCAAAGGAGACUGCCGGUGAUAAACCGGAGGAAGGUGGGGAUGACGUCAAGUCAUCAUGGCCCUUACGGCCAGGGCUACACACGUGCUACAAUGGCGCAUACAAAGAGAAGCGACCUCGCGAGAGCAAGCGGACCUCAUAAAGUGCGUCGUAGUCCGGAUUGGAGUCUGCAACUCGACUCCAUGAAGUCGGAAUCGCUAGUAAUCGUAGAUCAGAAUGCUACGGUGAAUACGUUCCCGGGCCUUGUACACACCGCCCGUCACACCAUGGGAGUGGGUUGCAAAAGAAGUAGGUAGCUUAACCUUCGGGAGGGCGCUUACCACUUUGUGAUUCAUGACUGGGGUGAAGUCGUAACAAGGUAAGCGUAGCGAG